rnacentral:rRNA from 1 species
ACGGAGGAUCCGAGCGUUAUCCGGAUUUAUUGGGUUUAAAGGGUGCGUAGGCGGGUUGUUAAGUCAGCUGUGAAAGUUUGAGGCUCAACCUCAAGACUGCCAUUGAUACUGGGGAUCUUGAGUCAUGUCGAGGGUGGCGGAAUGUGAUGUGUAGCGGUGAAAUGCUUAGAUAUCUCUGAGAACUCCGAUUGCGGAGGCAGCUGCCUAGACAUGUACUGACGCUGAUGCACGAAAGCAUGGGGAUCAAACAG